AUGAUAGAAAAACUAAGAGGAAGCAGGCCAAGGUCUUUCUCCUGUGCUCAUCCGUGUCUGAAGCGUGCACGGUUCCUUGGCCAUGCCACGUACAAGAAGAUAGAGGUAUUGCUGUUCAUCUCUUUCUGUCUUUUUCCUUCUCAGGAGUAUUUCUUGCAAGCAGAGCUGACGAGUAAUGUCUUGAAAACGGGAGUGGUCUGCUGCUGUGUGGGGCAGUGCAACAACACCAUCCCUGUGGACACCGCCCUCACCAUGAAGAAACUGCCUAUCACUUAUAGCAACAGGAAGGAAAGCCAGGGCGGCUACCUGUGCCACUCCUGCGCAGAGCAGCGGAUCGGGCCUCUGGCGUUCCUCACUGCCUCCCCAGAGCAGGUGCGCGCCAUGGAACGCACUGUGGAAAACAUCGUGCUGCCCAGGCACGAGGCCCUGCUCUUCCUGGUCUUCUGAGGCCAAGAUAGCCGUGACUCCACGUUCUGAAGACAGCCAGCCAAUCUGGGCUGGAUUCCUGGUCACUGGAGAGUCUGAGUUCAAUCACAGAGCACUUUCUGAGGAAGAUUCCAACCAGAGUUGGACCUGCCAUUUCUCUAUUCCCUACAGAUAGCCAGCUCCCACUUGCCUCUCCUCCAUAUGCAUUAGGUCAGGGAAGUGGGGAAGUUCUUUUGAUAAAAAAAUCAUUUUAUGUAUUUAAACUUUUAUUACAAGGUUUCAAUUAAACAGGCACACUGGAAUGCCACCCUGGUGUCUGGCUUCCGUACUGUCCUCUCUAAGCUUUCUCCUGUCUCUUUCCUGUUUCCUCAUUUUAACGGCUUGUCACUUUUCACAUGGAUAAGACACAGUGGGUCUUUUUCAUUUAGGGUUCACAGUUUAAAGAAGGAAGUGACAUCAUGCACAGAAGACAGACGAAGUAACAGUAGUUAUACAUCUGUGUCUCCAGAAACCACAGCAAAAACAUGCUCAUUGCAUUGAUGUAUAUGCUUCUAAUAGUUGAUAUUUUGGCUGUUAGCAGGCUUCUGAUGCUAGUUGGGU
rnacentral:lncRNA from 1 species